ACGAACGCUGGCGGCGUGCCUAAUACAUGCAAGUCGAGCGGAAUGAUGAAGAAGCUUGCUUCUUCUGAUUUUAGCGGCGGACGGGUGAGUAACACGUGGGCAACCUACCUUGUAGAUUGGGAUAACUCCGGGAAACCGGGGCUAAUACCGAAUAAUCCAUUUUGCUUCAUGGCGAGAUGUUGAAAGACGGUUUCGGCUGUCACUACAAGAUGGGCCCGCGGCGCAUUAGCUAGUUGGUAGGGUAAUGGCCUACCAAGGCGACGAUGCGUAGCCGACCUGAGAGGGUGAUCGGCCACACUGGGACUGAGACACGGCCCAGACUCCUACGGGAGGCAGCAUUAGGGAAUCUUCCACAAUGGACGAAAGUCUGAUGGAGCAACGCCGCGUGAGUGAAGAAGGUUUUCGGAUCGUAAAACUCUGUUGUAAGGGAAGAACACGUACGAGAGUAACUGCUCGUACCUUGACGGUACCUUAUUAGAAAGCCACGGCUAACUACGUG
rnacentral:rRNA from 1 species